rfam:Gossypium raimondii Chr03_contig_24, whole genome shotgun sequence.
UGUUAAAAAUUUUAUUUAUCUCUACUAUUAAAACUAGUCUAGCUGACUGAGUAACCAAAUAGUUAUAUGUGGUGUGCCACGUGUACUUCAUCUAGACAUACAGAGACAGGUUUUUAACAAUAAAAAUGAAUAGAACUUUUAAUA